GAUGAACGCUGGCGGCGUGCCUAAUACAUGCAAGUCGAGCGAACGGACGAGAAGCUUGCUUCUCUGAUGUUAGCGGCGGACGGGUGAGUAACACGUGGAUAACCUACCUAUAAGACUGGGAUAACUUCGGGAAACCGGAGCUAAUACCGGAUAAUAUUUUGAACCGCAUGGUUCAAAAGUGAAAGACGGUCUUGCUGUCACUUAUAGAUGGAUCCGCGCUGCAUUAGCUAGUUGGUAAGGUAACGGCUUACCAAGGCAACGAUGCAUAGCCGACCUGAGAGGGGGAUAGGCGACACUGGAGCUGAGCCAGGGUCCAGACGCCUACGGUAGGCAGCAGUAGGGAAUCUGCCGCAAUGGGCGAAAGCCUGACGGAGCAACGCCGCGUGAGUGAUGAAGGUCUUCGGAUCGUAAAACUCGGUUAUUAGGGAAGAACAUAUGUGGAAGGAACUGUGCACAUCUUGACGGUACCUAAUCAGAAAGCCACGGCUAACUACGUG
rnacentral:rRNA from 1 species